CCUACGGGUGGCUGCAGUGGGGAAUAUUGGACAAUGGGGGCAACCCUGAUCCAGCCAUGCCGCGUGUGUGAAGAAGGCCCUCGGGUUGUAAAGCACUUUCAGUGAGGAAGAACGCCUGGUGGUUAAUACCCAUCAGGAAAGACAUCACUCACAGAAGAAGCACCGGCUAACUCCGUGCCAGCAGCCGCGGUAAUACGGAGGGUGCGAGCGUUAAUCGGAAUUACUGGGCGUAAAGCGCGCGUAGGUGGCUUGAUAAGCCGGUUGUGAAAGCCCCGGGCUCAACCUGGGAACGGCAUCCGGAACUGUCAAGCUAGAGUGCAGGAGAGGAAGGUAGAAUUCCCGGUGUAGAGGUGAAAUGCGUAGAGAUCGGGAGGAAUACCAGUGGCGAAGGCGGCCUUCUGGACUGACACUGACACUGAGGUGCGAAAGCGUGGGUAGCAAACAGGAUUAGAUACCCGGGUAGUC
rnacentral:rRNA from 1 species